rnacentral:rRNA from 1 species
GACGAACGCUGGCGGCGUGCUUAACACAUGCAAGUCGAACGGAAAGGCCCCAGCUUGCUGGGGUCCUCGAGUGGCGAACGGGUGAGUAACACGUGGGUAAUCUGUCCUGCACUCUGGGAUAAGCUUGGGCAACUGGGUCUAAUACUGGAUAUGAUUUCUCUCCUUAUGGGGGUCGGUGGAUAGUUUGUCUGUGUGGGAUGGGCCCGGGGUUUCUCAGCUUGUUGGUGGGGUUAUGGCAUAACAAGGCUCCGACGGGUAGCCGGUCUGAGAGGGUGAGCGGCCACAUUGGGACUGAGAUACGGCCCAGACUCCUACGGGAGGGAGCGGUGGGGAAUAUUGCACAAUGGGCGGAAGCCUGAUGCAGCGACGCCACGUGGGGGAUGACGGCCUUCGGGUUGUAAACCACUUUCAGCUGAGACGAGACGUGAAUGACGGUACCGGGAGAAGAAGCACCGGCUAACUACGUG